rnacentral:rRNA from 1 species
UCGAGAAUCUUUCGCAAUGGGCGCAAGCCUGACGAAGCGACGCCGCGUGCAGGAUGAAGGUCUUCGGAUUGUAAACUGCUGUCUUCCGGGAUCAAGGAACCACCAUUAACACCGGUGGAACCGGAUAGUACCGGAGGAGGAAGCCACGGCUAACUCUGUGCCAGCAGCCGCGGUAAUACAGAGGUGGCAAGCGUUGUUCGGAUUUACUGGGCGUAAAGGGUGCGUAGGCGGUCUUGUGUGUCGGGUGUGAAAUCCCACGGAUUAUCUGUGGAACGGCAUUCGAAACUGCAGGGCUUGAGUGUAGGAGAGGAGAGCGGAAUUCUUGGUGUAGCGGUGAAAUGCGUUGAUAUCAAGAGGAACGCCGGUGACGAAGGUGGCUCUCUGGACUACUACUGACGCUGAGGCACGAAAGCUAGGGGAGCAAACA